UACAGGGGGUGCAAACGUUGCUCGGAAUCAUUGGGCGUAAAGCGCACGUAGGCGGUCUGUUAUGUCGGAUGUGAAAGCCCUUGGCUCAACUGAGGAAGUGCAUCCGAAACUGGCAGGCUAGAGUACUAAAGAGGGUCGCGGAAUUCCCGGUGUAGAGGUGAAAUUCGUAGAUAUCGGGAGGAACACCGGUGGCGAAGGCGGCGACCUGGGGUAGAUACUGACGCUGAGGUGCGAAAGCGUGGGGAGCAAACAGGG
rnacentral:rRNA from 1 species